rnacentral:rRNA from 1 species
GAUGAACGCUGGCGGCGUGCCUAAUACAUGCAAGUCGAGCGAACGGACGAGAAGCUUGCUUCUCUGAUGUUAGCGGCGGACGGGUGAGUAACACGUGGAUAACCUACCUAUAAGACUGGGAUAACUUCGGGAAACCAGAGCUAAUACCGGAUGAUAUUUUGAACCGCAUGGUUCAAAAGUGAAAGACGGUCUUGCUGUCACUUAUAGAUGGAUCCGCGCUGCAUUAGCUAGUUGGUAAGGUAACGGCUUACCAAGGCAACGAUGCAUAGCCGACCUGAGAGGGUGAUCGGCCACACUGGAACUGAGACACGGUCCAGACUCCUACGGGAGGCAGCAGUAAGGAAUCUUCCGCAAUGGGCGAAAGCCUGACGGAGCAACGCCGCGUGAGUGAUGAAGGUCUUCGGAUCGUAAAACUCUGUUAUUAGGGAAGAACAUAUGUGUAAGUAACUGUGCACAUCUUGACGGUACCUAAUCAGAAAGCCACGGCUAACUACGUG